rnacentral:rRNA from 1 species
GACGAACGCUGGCGGCGUGCCUAAUACAUGCCAGUUGAGCGCUGAAGGUUGGUACUUGUACCAACUGGAUGAGCAGCGAACGGGUGAGUAACGCGUGGGGAAUCUGCCUUUGAGCGGGGGACAACAUUUGGAAACGAAUGCUAAUACCGCAUAAAAACUUUAAACACAAGUUUUAAGUUUGAAAGAUGCAAUUGCAUCACUCAAAGAUGAUCCCGCGUUGUAUUAGCUAGUUGGUGAGGUAAAGGCUCACCAAGGCGAUGAUACAUAGCCGACCUGAGAGGGUGAUCGGCCACUUGGGGACUGGAACACGGCCCAAACUCCUACGGGAGGCACCAGUAGGAAAUCUUCGGCAAUGGACGAAAGUCUAACCGAACAACACCGCGUAGGGGAAGAAGGUUUUCGAAUCGUAAACUCUGUUGGUAGAGAAGAACGUUGGUGAGAGUGGAAAGCUCAUCAAGUGACGGUAACUACCCAGAAAGGGACGGCUAACUACGUG